rnacentral:lncRNA from 1 species
UGUUUGUUGCAUUUCUCAUGUCAUCAUACGCAUUGCAUCCGCAUGUCUUUCAUAAAACUCGUAGUCGUUCGAAGUUGCCGCUUCUCUUUGUCUCCGUGGCAUGUCGUCAGACCGUUUGUCUUCCUUGACCAUUCUCAGUCCAACCACACACUUGACCUCGUUCGCCUAACCCCUCUUUGCACAGUGCAUCGACCCCUCGCCCGUGUUCGAAACUUCCCCGAACCCGACCGUGGGCUGUCAUGACCGAUGGAUCCGGAUCAACCUCAAACAUCCCUAAAACAUCUUCGUUUUCUUUUUUUGGACUCCCUAGCCAAUUUAUUCUCAACCGCCCGAUUACGAUCGGACGGACCGAAUACCCCCUAACCUAAUCCACCCGCAUAUAUAAAUGGGGCAACCCUAAAUUCUGGGAGAGCUGUCCCAUCCUUCCUCCUCGCCGCCGCCACCCGGUCUCGAUCCACCUCGGGAUCCCCCUUCUCCUUGUUUUCCUCCACCCACCAACCAGCGCUCUCCACUCCUCCUCCCCGAUUUGCUCACCCGGCCAACCAGAGCAGCUCCUCGAUCCACUCCACGCCGACCCCCAUCGCCCUCCUCCCGUGCUUCCCGCGCGCCGCUGCAAGCAGCAGCACCACCGGAGCUCCCUCCGCCGACGAGCAUCCACCAGGCCAGGCCGCCCGCUCCUUCUCCCUGUCCUCCUCUUCUUCUCGUUUCUCCCCUUCUCUGACCUCUUCCUCAUCUCAUCCCUCUCUCGCUCCUCUUCACAGGGAACCGAUGCCAUGGACGCCCAUGCUCUGCUCCGAGUCAACCGUCGCCGCCCUUCCUCGUCAGAUCCGGCCGGGGCCCGUCGGAUCUCGCCGCCCCGCCAUGUUCCUGGAGCCACGGAGCCCGUUCGUCCCCUGCUUCUGUCGUGCGAGCACGCAAGGACGACGACCAGCGCCAAGUCCUGCCUCGAGCGUGUUGACCGCGCCCCUCCUCGUCGCCAUGGAUCCGCGCCAAGCUCCGCCUCCCCGCGCUCCGUUCCGCCCGGUUCCCGCCGACCCCGUCGCCAGGACCCCUGCCGCCGUCUUCUGCAUCGCCUGCUGCUGCUUCUGUUCUUCAGAAACAAGCAGCAGCAGCUCGCCCGCUCAUCCCCGUUGACCGCAGCCGCACGCUCGUCCAGCGCCUAGCUUGGCCGCUGCCAAGGCCCAACCUGCUUCCCCUCGAGAUCCGGCCUCCUCCAGCGUCUACACCGAAUGGGCCAAGGCCCACUGGGUGAGGCCACACCCCAGCGCCCCUCCUCUUGUUUUUUCCUCUGUUGGGCUUCCUGUUCAGAUUCGGCCCAUGUGAUGUUUUUUUCAGGAUCUGCGAAUUUAGCUAUUACCCUAGGAUUUACUGUUUUGCAGAAAAGUCCCUAGUCUUCAUGCAUAUAAUAACUCAUCAACCGUGCAUCGGAUUAAAAUGAUUUAUAUAUGUAAAAUGCUUAGAAUUUAAUCUAGUUUCAUAAUAUUCUACUUUCAUACAUGUUAAAAAUGUUUAACUUGUUGUUUGUUUAAUUUUGCAUAAAUGCCAUGUUAAAAAUGAUUUAAUUCAUAACUAAAUAACCGUAGCUCCAAAUUUAAUAAACUUUAUAUGUAAAUGGGGUGGAAAAUGCAUAGAUUAACAUGGUGCACUUCAUUUUGCUGGUUAAAAACAUUAAAAUUGUGUUUAGGGCAGAACAGUACCAAAUCUAAAAUAUGCACAUGAGGAUUUUCCGGAAUUGUUGUUUGUUGUUCCGGCCUCAUUUAAACUUGCCUAAAUAGUUAGUUUAAUUAUGCUUCACCUCUUGCCAUGUUAACCACAUUUAAUCUUGUCUUGUUCCUAAACGAGAGCAAACUAAAUAACUUGAAUGUGGUGUUUCGUCAAUACGCAAGUCGUUGCAUAUUGAGCCCCACUUAAUUUUUAGUAUUCUUUGUGCACCUUGCCAUGCCAUGCCUCAUUAAACUGGACAUGCAUCAUACUUGAUUGUGCAUCAUGCCAUGCUUAUGUAUUGGUUGUUUACCAUGUUGUUUGCUUCUUUCCGGUUUACGUCUCUCGUUAGCUUCGGUUUCGUUCCGGAGUUGUGAGGAUUCGUUCGACUACGUCUGUUUGUCUUCUUCAUGGACUCGUUCUUCUUCCUAGCGGGAUUUUAGGCAAGAUGACCAUACCCUCGAAAUCACUUCUAUCUUUGCUUGCUAGUUGUUUCGCUCUAUUGCUAUGCCGCGCUACCUACCACUUGCUAUAUCAUGCCUCCCAUAUUGCCAUGUCAAGCCUCUAACCCACCUUUCCUAGCAAACCGUUGUUUGGCUAUGUUACCGCUUUUGCUCAGCCCCUCUUAUAGCAUUGCUAGUUGCAGGCGAAGAUGAAGAUUGUUCCAUGUUGGAACAUGUUUAUGUUGGGAUAUCACAAUAUCUCUUAUUUAAUUAAUGCAUCUAUAUACUUGGUAAAGGGUGGAAGGCUCGGCCUUAUGCCUGGUGUUUUGUUCCACUCUUUCCGCCCUAGUUUCCGCCAUACCGGUGUUAUGUUCCUUGAUUUUGCGUUCCUUACGUGGUUGGGUGAUUUAUGGGACCCCCUUGACAGUUCGCUUUGAAUAAAACUCCUCCAACAAGGCCCAACCUUGGUUUUAACAUUUGCCUACCUAAGCCUUUUUCCCUUGGGUUCUGCAGACUCUAGGGUCAUCUUAUUUACCCCCCCCCCCCGGCCAGUGCUCCUCGGAGUGUUGUUCCAAACUAGAGCCACUUGCAGCGCCACCUCGGGGAAGCUUGAGGGCUGGUUUUAGUUGUACGUAGUGUCCAUCCGGUGUGUCCUGAGAACGAGGUACGUGCGACUCCUAUCGGGAUUGUCGACACAUCGGGCGGCUUUGCUGGUCUUGUUUUACCAUUGUCGAAAUGUCUUGUAAACCGGGAUUCCGAGACUGGUCGGGUCUUCCCGGGAGAAGGAAUAUCCUUCGUCGACCGUGAGAGCUUAUAAUGGGCUAAGUUGGGACACCCCUGCAGGGUAUAAACUUUCGAGAGCCGUGCCCGCGGUUAUGUGGCAGAUGGGAAUUUGUUAAUGUCCGGUUGUAGAGAACUUGACACUUGACUUAAUUAAAACGCAUCAACCGCGUGUGUAACCGUGAUGGUCUCUUUUCGGCGGAGUCCAGGAAGUGAACACGGUUUGUGGGUUAUGUUUGACGUAAGUAGGAGUUCAGGAUCACUUCUUGAUCAUUACUAGUUGACGACCGUUCCGUUGCUUCUCUUCUCGCUCUUAUUUGCGUAUGUUAGCCACCAUACAUGCUUAGUGCUUGCUGCAGCUCCACCUCACUACCUUCUCCUACCCAUAAGCUUAAAUAGUCUUGAUCUCGCGGGUGUGAGAUUGCUAAGUCCUCAUGACUCACCAGAUACUUCCAAACAGUUGCAGGUGCCGAUGAUACCAGUGCAGGUGAUGCUACCGAGCUCUAACGGGAGUUCGACGAAGACCUUGGUCGUUACUAUGUUUAGUUUUCCUGUUGAUCAGUAGUGGUGCCCAGUUGGGGACGAUCGGGGAUCUAGCAUUUGGGGUUAUCUUCUUUUUAUCUGGAUUUGACCGUAGUCGGUCUAUGUGUGUAUCUUGAAUGAUGUAUGAAUUUAUUUAUGUAUUGUGUGAAGUGGCGAUUGUAAGCCAACACUUUAUCCCAUUCUUGUUCAUUACAUGGGAUUGUGUGAAGACGACCCUUCUUGCGACAAAACCUACAAUGCGGUUAUGCCUCUAAGUCGUGCCUCGACACGUGAGAGAUAUAGCCGCAUCGUGGGCGUUACAAGUUGGUAAUCAGAGCCAUCCCCGACUUAGGAGCCCCCUGCUUGAUCGAAUCGCUGACGUUGUUGAGUCUAGAACAAAAAUGUUUUGAGUCUUAGGAUUAUAUAUAUCGGAGAGCAGGAUUCUUUUUACUCCCCAGUCCCUUCGUCGCUCUGGUGAGGCCUCCUGACGUAGAUGUUUUGACUUUCCUCUCCUCAAAUUUCACUAAAAAAAAUUAGGAUCACGCGGGUAUCUUGGAAUCGUUCCGAUGGUUUUGUGACGAGAACAUUGUUCUUGGUGCCUCCUGACAUUUAGGGGUUGUGGCAGUGUCCCGGGGAGUUGAGCUCCGAGGUGUUGUCGUCACAAUUUUAUCGUUGCAGUUCUGGAAUACCUGAGUUUCGCCGACAUCGAAAAUCUCUUUUAUGCAGUUGUUGGUGAGAUCACCUCGACGCCACCCAGUACUGGGGCGGGAGUUCGGGAGUAUUGCCAUAGCUCGUAUAACGGAUGCUUUUCGAAGGUUGAGGUACAUGAUUUCUGGAGUUUUCUUGGUUAUGUGUUGACGGAUGGAUACAGCUGGAUCUAAGGAUUGUUAGUUUGGGUGAGAUAUAUUGUGUCCCCUGUAUCCCCAACACCAGAUUGCAUAACCAGAAAGUUUUGGGAGUUUUAUAGGUGGGAAUUCAAGUAGCUCCUAGGAUAUCUUUUCGAUAGAUGUAUGAUUUGAGAUUGGGGUCCAACGUCUAGUGGUUCGCUUUUCACGGUCGAUUUACAGUGGUCGCGAGGCGUCUUAAAGAAUCCUUGGCUAUGCCGAUUCGGGGACGUCUUGUUUGUCAUUCGUGACGUCCGUUGUACGUCGUGCCCGUGGGGCCUCAUCACGAACACUUUGGGCGAAAUCUCUAUCAUAUGUUUGUUUCCAGCUUAUUCUGCAAGCCAAAUCCUUUGUUUUUGUUUUGUUUUGUGGUAUUCGAGUUGCUUCAAUGCGAAGUGUUGAUUCCAUACCUUCCCAAAACGGUGUUCUCAUAUUUGUAUGUGAAUACUAAUCCUUCUUUAUCAUCGAGGUUGCCAUGUUAAUUCCUUUCCAACCGACGUGCUUCUCUUCAAGUGGAUCCAAUCAUUUCAACAUUCGCAAGAUCACCUCUCAGUUUUCCCAACGUUGUUUGUUCCAUAUGCCCCAAGUUGCCUUUGUUUUUCCCGCCCUCCCACCCUCUUUCUUCAAGGACUCAGAUUUCUUAAUCAUGUAUCCAUCUUAUGGAUGUGAAGUUUCUCCAUUCUUUUCCAUCAAUGUUCUUACCUGGUGAUUCUCAUGAAGAUGCCAAGGAAGCUUCAAGUCUAUUAUUCUUCGUUCUUUUCUUCUCCGGUGGACUCAAGUCAAGCUUUCAGUGUUGAUCGUAUUCUUUUCCUCGUUUCAAAUGCUUUCUCAUGUCGGUGCAUCUCUUAAUCAUCCACCUCUUGCUAUUCAUGUUAUCUGGAGUGUUGAAGAUAUCUCAGAAGAUCCGCAUUUCCAUUCCCAAUCCGUUCAAGCUAUCUCGAGGUUGUUAUCUCUUUUGAGCCAUUUAAUUCAACCGGCGCAAUCUUUCUUUUAAUCAUUCAACGGUGUAUCUUUUGAGUGAGCCCUAACCCACAGGUCUUUUUCCAGGAUCUUACCUGACUCUUCUAAUUUUUCUGGAGUUAUUCUCAAAUUCAUUUCAAAGUUUGACGUAAGAAUGGGUUAUCAUCAGUCAUAUGUCUUUCUCCAAGAUCUUUCAAAUUCUUUUCAUUGUUGAUUCAACCUUUCUAUUCUUCAUGGUUCCGGAGUGCCUCAAUAAUUCAUGGUGGUGUUUCUCGUCAUCAUUCUCAACAUUUGAAGACUGAAGAAGAGUUUCUCUUCAAUCUAAUCUGUUCUCUCAAAGAUGCGUGGUUCUAACUUGUUGCCAUCCUCUCAUAAUUGUUUUGAUUGUGAGAAUUCUUUUCACCCAUCCGGAGCAAUUCAGGAGUCUUUUCAGCUUGAUUCUCCGGAGCCAUCAUCUCAGAAUUAUUCAUUCUCAGCUUUCAGAUCUCAUUCUCCAAAUCUUACCGGUGCAUCAUUCAAGUAUUCUCUAAUCAAUUCAUGAUCUCUUCGUUUCACUUGUAUCUAAAUUCGGUCAAGUAUCUUUAUUCGUUUUCUAAUUCUUCUCGGUGUUUCUUUAUCUUAUCUUCGUUGAUUUUCAGAUUCUUACGGUGGUUCAUUCAAGAUUUCUCUUCCUUCGUCACAUAUCAAUUUAUUCGUUGUUUCAAUCCUACCGGUGGUUCGAUGAAGACCUUCCCAAGUUUGUGCUAUAUCUCUCUUAAUCCUUUAUACGAGAAUAAGUAGUAUACCAAAUCCGUUGCUUGUCAUCAAUUUAUAUUGGUGAAGGAUACGCAUAACAUAAUUCUUGUUCUUGUUUCAUCCAAGUGAUUAAUUCCUUCUUCCGGAGUUCGUAGUGAUAUCAAUUUCUCAGUUAUAUGUUGUUCAUCUUUCUUAUCCGGAGUUCAAAGUUUUCUCAUCAUAUCGUCCUGAAGCUCCAUCUAAAUCAUUGCAAGGCUUCACCUUGUGUUGUCAACUUCUCUUUCUUUCUAUCAUCCUUUUGUUUACCGGAGUUCUUCAUGGAGGCUCUACAUGGUGCUUCGUCAAGGAUUCCUUUCAUUCUUCAAUUGUUCUUCAAGAUUUCUCUCGGAGUCAAGAUCCGUCAAGUUAUACUCUAAAAUAAACAUGGUGCUCAACACAUGUUUGUUUUGAGGAGUUCAAGCAUUCUUCAUCUUGCAUUCCGAAGUGCAAUUCUUUCUCUCUUAUCUUCUGAGGUGGUGUUAUGUCAUUCUUGAUAAUUUUCUUCAUGUUUCAUGAUUCACAAGUUGUCAAGAAUGAGAUAUUUAAACCCAUCAUAUUUUAUUCGUCCAUGAGUUGUUUCAACCCAUAAUAAUCUCUUUGUUGGAGUUAUCUUGGUAUAGAUUUCACUUAAAGCCUUCUCGAAGGAAUGUUGCUAAUUGUGGUGUUUAUCAAUGAUCAAAUUUUCUCCUUCUCAUCUUGGUGAAGAAGUUUUCUUCUCCUUGUUGAUCUCAAUCCAAUCAACUGUUUCCGUAGUGGCAGAAUUUCGCCUCUAUCUUGAGAAGUUUUUCCAUAAGCCCACUACAAGCUUAUUCGUUUCGUUGUUGGUUUUUCCAACAACUCCGUUCUAACCUUCUUGGAAGGGUGCUUUCCAAGAUCAUUGGUGGCAGAAGUUGGCAUUUUCUUCUCCAUUCCUUUAUUCCAAUGAUCUAUCUUCUAUUUUUUCUUCCGGAGGCAUGGUGAUGUUGCUCUCUUCGCUCAUCAUCUCGAAUUGUGAGGGUCGUGUUCUUUUCUUACUAAUCCAUUUAAUCGGAGUGUUAUGUCUAUCAUUCCUCUUUUAACCGGAGUCUCAUCCAAGUGCUUUCAUUUUGCCAAGUUCAUAUUCUAUCCCGUCCAUUUUCCAACCGGAGCGUUAUCGUAAUUGAUCCUUAUCGUUCCUUGUACAUCUCGUUUCAACCGGAGUGCUUGCAUGUACUUCUCGUCCAUUGUUCUCGUCAUUCAUAGCUUUGCAAACUCCAAGGUUCACAUGGUGUUACUUGUUUCUCUUUUCUACCGGUGUGCUUUCAUAUUCCUUUUGAUCCGUUAAGCUCUUGUUUCAUAUUCUUCAACCUACAAAGGUUCUCGCAAUGUUCCUUGUUCCUCUUUGAUAACGGAGUGUUUUCAAUCUCGUUCAUCUCCCUUGUAUUCUCUCUUUUCGUUCGUUCAAUCUCUCAAGGUUCCUUGGUUUCACUCAUUCGUCGAAGAAGCAACUUUGUUUUACCUCUUCCUCUUCCGCUUUUCUCCGGUGCCAUCCUAGAUCUCAGGACGAGAUCCUCUUGUAGUGGUGAAGUGUUGUGACGCCCCAAGACCGACGCUCCAGACGCCUGCCAUGUUUUGCGUGACCGUCAUGUGUUUUAUUUGUUUGUUGCAUUUCUCAUGUCAUCAUACGCAUUGCAUCCGCAUGUCUUUCAUAAAACUCGUAGUCGUUCGUAGUUGCCGCUUCUCUUUGUCUCCGUGGCAUGUCGUCAGACCGUUUUUCUUCCUUGACCAUUCUCAGUCCAACCACACACUUGACCUCGUUCGCCUAACCCCUCUUUGCACAGUGCAUCGACCCCUCGCCCGUGUUCGAAACUUCCCCGAACCCGACCGUGGGCUGUCAUGACCGAUGGAUCCGGAUCAACCUCAAACAUCCCUAAAACAUCUUCGUUUUCUUUUUUUGGACUCCCUAGCCAAUUUAUUCUCGACCGCCCGAUUACGAUCGGACGGACCGAAUACCCCCUAACCUAAUCCACCCGCAUAUAUAAAUGGGGCAACCCUAAAUUCUGGGAGAGCUGUCCCAUCCUUCCUCCUCGCCGCCGCCACCCGGUCUCGAUCCACCUCGGGAUCCCCCUUCUCCUCGUUUUCCUCCACCCACCAACC